UGUUUUUGUCUCUGGCUUUGUUGGCGUUGUCACGUGUGUGAAAAAUGUGCGCGAAAACAAAGGACUUCUUCGGCACCCGUCCCUGUUUUUCAAGUAGGCAAGGUGUGUGCAGUUGAUUUUUUUUUCGCUUUGAAACUGAGUGGCGAAAUUGAGGAGGCCCUGUAUUAUGCGACGUUUUGACAUUCACGCUGUUCGUUACAUUUGGCGUAAAGCUUGUCUAAACAAAACACGCAACUGCACGAACGAAGCGGUAAUGAAGCCGUAGAUUAGGAAACUGGAACUCUGCCACUAUUGCUGAGGCACGCAUGUUACGUUUAAGUAGAGUCGACGCUGUCGUGACAGAUUUUGUACCGAGAUAUUUCCUUGAAGCCUACGUGUGCGGUGUGCAACAUGUCUUACCAUGGUAUUACUGAAGUAACGGAGCGAAUUGCGAUCCAUGAACCUUGUUGCACGUCAAAAAGACGGAAGUAAAAAGCUGGACACUGCGUGACAUCCGAUUGUGCUCUAGAGAACCCCUGGGGUCAAACCCUUGAGGUUGCAAUUGUGCCUUACGAACAAUCCAGUGCUACAACUGCCUUCAAAAGCAUUAUUGAAUGGAUACGACGCUGUCAGAUCUGACGACAAACCACGUUGUGGACGCAGAAGUGCAAACUGCUCCAUGUGGAGCGCUAUGCACCUCCUGCAAUAUUCUGCACAAGAAGGUCAACAUUCUUACACAAAGGGUAGAAGAACUUACCAUCUCCAACAAGAAACUGUCUGAACAGCUUGCAUCACAGAACAAUGUCAACUUGAUGCCAGAGAAGCAGCUGAUAUUUUAUACUGGCAUUUCCAAGGCAAGAUUCUUAGCCUUGCUGGCAGCUAUUGUGGUGUGCCUACCACAGGCACAGAAAAUCCCGCAUUCAGCUCAGCUUCUCAUGGUACUUAUGAAGUUGAGACUAGCACUACCGUACCAGGACUUAGCAUACAGGUUUAACGUCCACCGACACACUGUCAGCUCUACAUUCAAGAUCUGGAUCAAGCCACUGGCAAUUCGAUGCAGCCAUCUAGUGAAAUUUCUCAGUCCAAGUGUUGCACAGAGUUGGCUAGCAAAGACAGAAAGAAGAAGUUCCCACGUCUGCGCAGCAUUAUGGACUGCACAGAAGUGAAGGUAUCACGGGUUCCUCGAUCUUCUCAAUGAAAAGGACCAGGUCCUGGCAGACCGAGGAUUCCUUCUGCAUGACGAAUUUGCCCUGAGAAAUGUGGAGCUGAUUACGCCCACAUUCACCAAAAACAAGCAACAGUUGAGUGCCAUUGAGACUGCCAAAUCACGGAGAAUAUCCUCAACACGGAUCAUUGUGGAGCGGGCUAUUGGGUACCUGAAGAAGUGGCGUAUCUUGACAGGGACUGUUCCAUACCACCUCUGCCCAAUGUAUGAUGACAUACUUGUUGUGGUGUCAGGACUGACAAAUGUAGCACUACCGAUUGCAAAGAAAGAAAGGAGGUCGCAAGGAUUCACAUCCUCCAAAGAGUACAGGCAUUUCACUUCCACCAGUGAUGGAGGGUGGCAGUCGCACUCAAAAAUUCCGUCCGGUGUACAGUCCAAGAAGGGGUACUUGGGGUGCACCAUCAACCCACAUUCCUUCAGGAGGGCAUUGAGAUGCCUCUGGCGGAGGGCAUCCAGUAACGCCACUUUUGUAAUUGGCUCAUUUUUCCGGCCAUACAGUACUGCCGGCGUAGUUAAUGGUCAUGGAUUUUUCUCAGCAGUGAGGAGCAGUUCACCAUCUUUGAUAGACACACGUCCUUGAACAGAGAGGCAGUGAUGCGCCCCUUACGAUGGUUUUUCCAUUCUACGCAUUCGUGCUGCGCACGUGUUGCCUGUUCUAUCUCAAUGGCAUCGUCUUCACUCACACACAAGUGGUGCACAACACUUUCACAUAGUUCAGUUAUAUUCUCAUUACAGUGCCCUUUCUUUCGCAGGGUUCGCUGGGUCAGCGAGCACAGAGGAGUCUCCAAGUUAAUGACGAUCUUCUGUGGCUCCUCUGGAAGACCAUCACUGUCAGAUAUGUCAUCACUACUGUCAGAGGCAGGUUCUGACGUUUCAUUCAUCUCCACUAAUGUGAAGUACCGUGCAUCUGGUGCAAUCUGUAAAGGAAUAUUCAGUGUCAUGAUGAAUUUGGACAGUUCAGCUCUGCAUGUUCCAAGUGAAGUCAUAUUGUGCAAAGCUUACUCUCUUCAGCUCUGCCAGGGACGCAUCAACUUCUGGUUCAAUCUGUUGUGCAGCUUGCAGUGGACGUUUUCUUUGCCUUACUUCUGUCCUCUUAUGGACAAACAACAACUCCUCUGCUGGCACAGGUUGAACCUGAAGGGAAAUACAAUCAUGAAACGUGAGUGUAUCACAUGCAGCAACAGACUGUACAUGUGUGUUACAGCAACAAGAACAUUUUUAGAGCCUGAACAUUUAGAGAAAAUAUUUUUUCCCCAAUUUUGGGUACAAAUCGGGUAAUUAAGUAUGUGCAAUAAAUUUAUGCAAAUAGGUAGGAACCCUUUCAGCAUGCCAGUUUCACGAGGCAACCGGACUCUAGAAUCUGAAGCAAAUCUUAUUGCACCCUCAAAAACCAUUAGUGCUGUAGGCUAGUUUUGUACACAUUAUAGAACAGGUAGCACAACCUAUACAUACAUGAUGAUAUCCUACGAGAUAACCUAAACAUGGAGACUAGGAACACAAAAGAAGGACAACUAAAUCAGACCUAUUGGCACAGCUAUAGUCAUGAGGCUUGAGCGAUCCUGGGUGUUGGUAGGUACUAUCGUAGACAAAAAGCAUUACCUGCAUAUGGUUUAGCAAAGGGCUAUUUUUCUGUUAGUAAUCAGGUUUUACCCUAAAAUAGUCAUCCUGAAUUCGCAGUGUUAAAUCGGGAGAGAAUCUGGUUAAACUGCAAAACUUCAGGCUCUAACCAUUUGCAGAUGAUUGCUACAAUUCCAAGAACAACUUCAGAUUAUGUUGCUAACUAACGCAUCAUCACUAUGAAAUCAGAAUGCUAUUACAAUUACUGUUCUAUAUGUUAUAAAGUGCAAAAUACCUUCUUGAGGCAGGGCACAGCCCACUGGCAGGCCUGGUCUGUUGGACCACAAGAUUGUGCAGUUUCUUCGUGCCACAUUUUUACUGUGAAGCAGAUGGCAGCUGCAUAGCUGCAGCACCUACCAUAUCUGAAGGUUUCUUAUUAGUAAAAUUUCACAUGCAAAACAAGUGUCAUCCAGUUAUCUCCGCUGAAACAUUACACUUACCCUGCCAUACAUGUGCAGUAUGCGUCAAGUAUCUUGCCAUAUGCUGUUGCUGCUAUCCAGCAGGCUUCUCGGAUCUUUGUGGGGGGUCACUUCGCCUUGCAGAACAACAGUGCCAACUGCUGGACUCGCACUCAGCACGCUGUGCACUUUGCCUGCGCAAAAAGGGGUUUUGAUGAUGUUUCAUGUUUUUUUGCGCAAUAACACCAGAAAAAGGUUUUGUUACAAAAUUUGUUACAGUAACAUUUACCGACUUAACCUUUAAAAUUGCAAUGUCUUGUUUUUGGAAAACCUGCUGCACACAAAGCCCCUGGACGUAUACCUGACAUAACAUAGUUGUCGCCCUCAAGGGCUUUAAAAGCCUCGAAAGGCUGGCUGUCAACCCCCAGUUCCUGCAGGAAGUAUGAUUUGAUAUCUGCUUCUGUCAAGAGGGGCCACAUGCAUUUGUCUGCAGUGUACUGAAGUGCCCGGAUGUCAUAUCCAGAUGGAUCCCACUGCAAGAUUUAUCAAUACAAGGUGCUUAGCGUGCCGCAGUAGAGUCACUGUUACAAACUAGCUAGCACAUAGAGAAAUGCGACAGGAGUGAGAUACAGUGGUCUUACAUGAGCAGGCAAUGGGGAUUACCUCUCUGCAUUGGCUCACUGAAGAGUAGAAAAGUUAAAAAUUAUAUUAUAUAUAUUUUGACCAAUAUUUCCUGACGUAGAUGGGGACUGAAGCGUUGAUUUGAAAGAGAGUAUGAAGGGAACCGUGUGCCCUUGAUCAGCUGUCGGGGCAGUAAAUGCAAAGAGCAUGUGUUUCGAUAAUGCCUUCCAGAUGUUAAAAUAUUGUUCCAACAUCGAACUGACGCGUUGUACUUACUACAAACUUGCUGGGGAAAUAAAAUGUAAGCUGCUCUUUGCA